ACUUCCUCUCUUCUCUCUCCACUGGACCUUCACAUGCACGCAUUAAAAACAAAAAAAAGAAAAAAGAGAUAAAAAAAGGUUUCUCUCACACGUGUCACGUUAUAUACUCUCUGUCAUACCCCAAUUUUGUCUGGGCAUUUUAAAAAUUUCAUAAAUUCGAUUUUUAUUUCAAUUUGCAUCAGUUGUACAACAUAACAUGCAUUCCAUCAUAAAUAGUACCUAAAAUAUCAGUCAGGAUAAAUUUAUUGAAAA
rnacentral:lncRNA from 1 species